rnacentral:piRNA from 1 species
UAGGCUAGGAGCAUUCUUCAUUAGCCCUCC